rnacentral:rRNA from 1 species
UCUGCAGAAUUCGCCUUUCGGUUGAUCCUGCCGGACCCGACCGCUAUCGGGGUAGGGCUAAGCCAUGGGAGUCGAACGCCCCGCCGCUGCGGGGCGUGGCGAACGGCUGAGUAACACGUGGCUAACCUACCCUCGGGACGGGGAUAACCCCGGGAAACUGGGGCUAAUCCCCGAUAGGCGGGGAGGCCUGGAAGGGUUCCCCGCCGAGAGGGGCCACCGGGGGUCAUCGCCGGUGGUCCGCCCGAGGAUGGGGCUGCGGCCCAUCAUGGUAGUUGGCGGGGUAACGGCCCGCCAAGCCGUCGACGGGUAGGGGCCGUGAGAGCGGGAGCCCCCAGAUGGGCACUGAGACAAGGGCCCAGGCCCUACGGGGCGCACCAGGCGCGAAAACUCCGCAAUGCGGGCAACCGUGACGGGGCUACCCCGAGUGCCCCCCUUGAGGGGGCUUUUCCCCGCUGUAGGUAGGCGGGGAAUAAGCGGGGGGCAAGACUGGUGUCAGCCGCCGCGGUAAUACCAGCCCCGCGAGCGGUCGGGGUGCUUACUGGGCCUAAAGCGCCCGUAGCCGGCUCGGCAAGUCUCCUCCUAAAGCCCCGGGCUCAACCCGGGGACUGGAGGAGAUACUGCCGGGCUAGGGGGCGGGAGAGGCCGAGGGUACUCCCGGGGUAGGGGCGAAAUCCACUAAUCCCGGGAGGACCACCAGUGGCGAAGGCGCUCGGCUGGAACGCGCCCGACGGUGAGGGGCGAAAGCCGGGGGAGCGAACCGGAUUAGAUACCCGGGUAGUCCCGGCUGUAAACGAUGCGGGCUAGGUGUUGGGCGGGCGAUAGGGCCCGCCCAGUGCCGCAGGGAAGCCGUUAAGCCCGCCGCCUGGGGAGUACGGCCGCAAGGCUGAAACUUAAAGGAAUUGGCGGGGGAGCAC